GUCUCAGCUCGAGCAUUCCUAGCGCCAACACGCCCUCAGGUAAAGGUGGAAGUAAAUGGCCACGCUGUAUUGACAGAGCAGGUAGAUGAAACUCAAGAGAAAAGGUGUGGAUAAAUGAAACUAGCCCAUGAUGAACCUGUUUUCUCCGUGACCACAAUAUUAACCAGGAUGAAUGGCGGUGGCAGUGGGCCUGCAUCACAGGUUGCAGCAGAUGUUCUCAAUAUUUCUAUUAAAAUUUCCUUAUUUCCAUAUGCAAGAGGAGCCCCAGAGCUGCAUCCUUAUGGUAGCUACCAUGCCGUGAUGUAAGCUGCCAUUCACUGGGGAGCUUUGGCAAUAGAAUUGGCUAGAUCAGGAAGCCUAUGUCAACUAUGGAACAACAACUUGCAGCUCAUCUCUAUUGAUGGUGAAACAGUCGCAAAUGGAAUUCCAAGAAACAUUCUAUAUACACUGCCUCUAGGACUGGGACAGAUAGCCACUGAGUACCUGCUUCAAAUCACCCUGCACGUUUUCUCUUUGGAAAGAUAAGCACUGGAGAACCAUCUCGUUACCUUCAGCAGAAAUGGAAACAAAUCAAGACAUUAAGAAUGCCGCAGUGGACAGCAGUUAUGCAAGGUUCAGCAGAGGAAGUUUUCAAGAUGGUGUGCCUCACUAGCCAGAAAUCAGAAAAGAUCGAAGCUAGCCUUUUCAUCUCAGCUGCUCCUUAAAUCAGUGCAACCCCUCCAAAUUAAUGUGAAUUGAAACUUGCAUUGCUUUUCAACUUAAUUGAAUACUUACUAUAUGUGAACCACUGCACAAAAUAGGGGAAGAAGAUGUGGGAGACAAAGAUGUGGAGCCUGUCUUCAAUAAAUUUACAGUUAGUUUCAGGGUACAUUGUUUUUCUUCUGCUGUUAAUUAGGUGUAUCCCCAAGACAAUAAAUACAUGAAUGGAAAAGUAUAUUCUGUGUUUUAAGUCUCUUUAAUAAAAAACAAAACAAAAUCCAAAAAAACUCCUAACAUGGCAACUCAGGACAUUUUAAUCCUUUUUUUUGUUGUUGGGCUUCUGAUAGGAUCCAUUUUAUUGAUUCCAUAAAUAUUUAGUAGACUUUAGACAUAUUAAUACAUUGUAGUUUGAGUUAAUUUGCAUUAAAUUCUGUUUUUUUCCCCUUAGGUAUAGAUUGUCUGUUGGAAAAAUAUAUUGCUUGUGGAUUUCUUGGGGAGUGGGAAGGUGAAUUAUACCUGUUGUCUCUACAGUCCACUACCUUCCACACCCUAGGGCAGUGGUCCCCAACCUUCUUGGCACCAGGGAUCAGUUUCCUGGAAGACAAUUUUUCUGUGGAUGGUGUGGGGAUGGUUUUGGGAUGGAACUGUUCCACCUCAGAUCAUCAGGCAUUAGUUAGGCUCUCAUAACGAGUGCGCAGCCUAGAUCCCUCACAUGCACAGUUCACAGUAGGGUUUGCGCUGCUAUGAGAAUCUAAGGCUGCCACUGAUCUGACAGGAGGCAGAACUCAGGUGGCAAUGCUUACUGGCCCACUGCUCACCUCUUGCUGUGCGGCCUGGUUCCUAAUAGGCCAUGGACCCCCACAGACGGGUACUAGUCUGCAGCCUGUGGACCCCAGCCCUAGGGGCCUGCCAUUCUGAGUGAGUUAUUAGCAUGAAGAAGAGGAAGAUCUGGAUCAAACGUGGGUGAUGGUACUCAGAGACCCAAGAUAGGAUAGGGAUGGAACAAAAUCCAUCUGGGCAACGGCUCUAUGAAAAUUUGGCUAAGUAAUUAUUUCAGUAUUCAUUGUAUUCAUUGUCCUUCGUGUUCCAUAAGUUAAAUGACUGUCUAAUUUUUCCAAAAAUUUAUUUCUGACUUGAGAAUAAGUGUGUCAUGAUUUUCCCAGUGUAAAGACACUGAUAUAACUGUAGA
rnacentral:lncRNA from 1 species